AUUGAACGCUGGCGGCAUGCCUUACACAUGCAAGUCGAACGGCAGCGGGGGAGAAGCUUGCUUUUCCUGCCGGCGAGUGGCGAACGGGUGAGUAAUACAUCGGAACGUGCCCUGUAGUGGGGGAUAACUAGUCGAAAGAUUAGCUAAUACCGCAUACGAUCUGAGGGUGAAAGUGGGGGACCGCAAGGCCUCAUGCUAUAGGAGCGGCCGACGUCUGAUUAGCUAGUUGGUGGGGUAAAGGCCUACCAAGGCGACGAUCAGUAGCUGGUCUGAGAGGACGAUCAGCCACACUGGGACGGAGACACGGCCCAGACUCCUACGGGAGGCAGCAGUGGGGAAUUUCGGACAAUGGGCGAAAGCCUGAUCCAGCAAUGCCGCGUGUGUGAAGAAGGCCUUCGGGUUGUAAAGCACUUUUGUCCGGAAAGAAAUGGCUCUGGUUAAUACCUGGGGUCGAUGACGGUACCGGAAGAAUAAGGACCGGCUAACUACGUGCCAGCAGCCGCGGUAA
rnacentral:rRNA from 1 species